ensembl:snoRNA
GUGCCCCGGGGGUCAGCCUGCAGCGCCAGAGCACACACUUGCGCAUAACUGGGCUGUCUGCUCUCCGCCGGUGGCCCUUUUAACCGCAAGUGACAUGG